UUCCAUGGCGGGCCAAGCGAGGCAGCCGCAAGGCUGGCCGGUUCCACCUCGUCAGACCGGUCUUUCCACCCUCGUUGACUGGCCCGCCGCCCUC
rnacentral:antisense_RNA from 1 species